UACGUAGGGUGCAAGCGUUGUCCGGAAUUAUUGGGCGUAAAGAGCUCGUAGGCGGUUUGUCGCGUCUGCUGUGAAAACCCGAGGCUCAACCUCGGGCCUGCAGUGGGUACGGGCAGACUAGAGUGCGGUAGGGGAGAUUGGAAUUCCUGGUGUAGCGGUGAAAUGCGCAGAUAUCAGGAGGAACACCGGUGGCGAAGGCGGGUCUCUGGGCAGUAACUGACGCUGAGGAGCGAAAGCGUGGGGAGCGAACAGG
rnacentral:rRNA from 1 species